rnacentral:rRNA from 1 species
UAGUGCAGCUAAUUAAGUGAACCGCGAAUGGCUCAUUAAAUCAGUUAUGGUUCCUUGGAUCUCACUUAUCCUACUUGGAUAACUGUGGUAAUUCUAGAGCUAAUACAUGCAACCAGAGCCGUGACCAGAAAUGGUUACGGCGCACUUAUUAGAUCAAAACCAAUCGGUCGGGCUCGCCCUUCCGUAGUUUUGGUGACUCUGGAUAACACCACAGCUGAUCGCACGGCCUUCGUGCCGGCGACGUAUCCUUCGAAUGUCUGCCUUAUCAACUGUCGAUGGUAGGUUCUACGCUUACCAUGGUUGUAACGGGUAACGGGGAAUCAGGGUUCGAUUCCGGAGAGGGAGCCUGAGAAACGGCUACCACAUCCAAGGAAGGCAGCAGGCGCGCAAAUUACCCACUCCCGGCACGGGGAGGUAGUGACGAAAAAUAACGAUACGGGACUCAUCCGAGGCCCCGUAAUCGGAAUGAGAACACUUUAAAUCUUUUAACAAGUACCUAAUGGAGGGCAAGUCUGGUGCCAGCAGCCGCGGUAAUUCCAGCUCCAUUGGCGUAUAUUAAAGUUGUUGCGGUUAAAAAGCUCGUAGUUGGAUCUGUGUCUCGGACGGUCGGUUCGCCGCUCGCGGUGUUUGACUGACCGGUCCGGACGUCAUGCCGGUGGGGCCUCGGCGCAAGUCGGGGCUCCGUAAUUAACCCUCCGCGCUGCUCUUAACCGAGUGGUUCGGUGGGCCGGCACGUUUACUUUGAACAAAUUUGAGUGCUCAAAGCAGGCCUUAUGUUGCCUGAAAACUGUGUGCAUGGAAUAAUGGAAUAGGACCUUGGUUCUAUUUUGUUGGCUUUCUGAACUUGAGGUAAUGAUUAACAGGGACAGACGGGGGCAUUCGUAUUGCGACGUUAGAGGUGAAAUUCUUGGAUCGUCGCAAGACGGACCGAUGCGAAAGCGUUUGCCAAGAAUGUUUUCGCUAAUCAAGAACGAAAGUUAGAGGUU